CUUCAGAAAUCUCUAAGGUCAAGGAUCCUUGCCUCCUACCUUCCUACAGACUAAAUUUAUUGAUUACUUGCUUUGGAGUUCUUCUGGAGAGG